AUUGAACGCUGGCGGCAGGCUAAACACAUGCAAGUCGAGCGGAGAUGAGGUGCUUGCACCUUAUCUUAGCGGCGGACGGGUGAGUAAUGCUUAGGAAUCUGCCUAUUAGUGGGGGACAACAUUCCGAAAGGAAUGCUAAUACCGCAUACGUCCUACGGGAGAAAGCAGGGGAUCUUCGGACCUUGCGCUAAUAGAUGAGCCUAAGUCGGAGUAGCUAGUUGGUGGGGUAAAGGCCUACCAAGGCGACGAUCUGUAGCGGGUCUGAGAGGAUGAUCCGCCACGCUGGGACUGAGACACGGCCCAGACUCCUACGGGAGGCAGCAGUGGGGAAUAUUGGACAAUGGGGGGAACCCUGAUCCAGCCAUGCCGCGUGUGUGAAGAAGGCCUUAUGGUUGUAAAGCACUUUAAGCGAGGAGGAGGCUACUGAGACUAAUACUCUUGGAUAGUGGACGUUACUCGCAGAAUAAGCACCGGCUAACUCUGUGCCAGCAGCCGCCGUAAAAC
rnacentral:rRNA from 1 species